GUAAGAUCUCUUUGGCCUUACUGUUCUGGGACACUGAAACAUCCUUGAUGGUUUUGAGCCACUUUGCCUAGAAAUGGGAAUGGAAUUUCUCCAGAACAACUGCCUCUUGAGGAUUUCAGCACAAAGGCAUCAAAAGUGAUUGACUGAAAGGUUUUCUGCAUCUCUCAACCUAACUUACCCAAGAUCAUUAUAUAGAAGAAAUAACUGAGUUCUUGUAUCAGCUAGCUUUUGCUGUGUAAUAAACUACUCUGAAUUCAU
rnacentral:lncRNA from 1 species